rnacentral:rRNA from 1 species
ACUCAAAUGAAUAGACGGGGGAGCGCACAACCAGUGGAGCAUGUGGUUUAAUUCGAGACGAAGCGAAAUACCUUACCCAGGUUUGAAAUGUAUCUGCACGGGUUUGGAAACAAGCCCUUCUUCGAGAGUGAUACACAGGUGAUGCAUGGCUGUCGUCAGCUCGUGUCGUGAGACGUCCACUUAAGUGUGGUAACGAGCGCAACCCCUAUCGGAAGUUAAAUAUCUUCCGAGACUGCCUACCAGCAAGGUGGGAGGAAGGAGGGGAUGACGUCAAGUCAGCACGUCCCUUACAUCUGGGGCAACACACAUCCUACAAUGGCGUGUAUAAUGGGUCGCGACGGGGUAACCCUGAGCCAAUCCUUUUAAAACUCGCCUCAGUUCAGAUUGAGGGCUGCAACCCGCCCUCAUGAAGUCGGAAUUGGUAGUAAUCGCGAAUCAGCAGGUCGCGGUGAAUACGUUCUCGCUCCUUGUACACACCGCCCGU